rnacentral:rRNA from 1 species
AUACGUAGGUGACAAGCGUUGUCCGGAUUUACUGGGUGUAAAGGGCGUGUAGGCGGAGAUGCAAGUCAGGAGUGAAAUCUAGGGGCUCAACCCCUAAACUGCUUUUGAAACUGUAUCCCUUGAGUAUCGGAGAGGCAGGCGGAAUUCCCAGGGUAGCGGUGGAAUGCGUAGAUAUUAGGAGGAACACCAGUGGCGAAGGCGGCCUGCUGGACGACAACUGACGCUGAGGCGCGAAAGCGUGGGGAGCAAACAGGAUUAGAUACCCUGGUAGUCCACGCUGUAAACGAUGAAUACUAGGUGUGGGGGGACUGACCCCCUCUGUGCCGCAGUUAACACAAUAAGUAUUCCACCUGGGGAGUACGAUCGCAAGAUUGAAACUCAAAUGAAUUGACGGGG